UUUAAUGUGAUAGGGAAGGCAACAGGGGUUUAGCACUAGGACCCAGGUAAAGGGGCAGAGUCUAUAAAUAGGGAAGGGAAGAUCACCUGGUCCUUUCUUUCUGCAGUCACACACCUGAGGGAGCAGCUGAGGCCAGCCUUUGUUUGGUUCUUGAUUGGACUUCGUGGUGGUGAGGGUCCAAAGCUUGGAGUGAUUGUCCAAACACAUCAGCUAAAGCACAGAUCCCAGUCACCUGCAUGCCUUCAACGGCGGGAGGGGAAUGUGUUUCUAAGUCAAACAAGGUAUGAUAAUUGUUACAUUUGCUUAUGUUUCAUGAAAUGUUUCUUUUAAAGUGUUUUUGUAUCUUACUGUGUUUUUGUUUGUCUUGUUUC